rnacentral:rRNA from 1 species
AAAUGAAUUGACGGGGGCCCGCACAAGCGGUGGAGCAUGUGGUUUAAUUCGACGCAACGCGAAGAACCUUACCAGGUUUUGACAUCCUCUGACGUGUACAGAGAUGUACAUUUUCAUCUUCGGAUGGACAGGGAGACAGGUGGUGCAUGGUUGUCGUCAGCUCGUGUCGUGAGAUGUUGGGUUAAGUCCCGCAACGAGCGCAACCCUUAUCCUUAGUUGCCAGCACUGAGGGUGGGCACUCUAAAGAGACUGCCGGUGACAAACCGGAGGAAGGUGGGGAUGACGUCAAAUCAUCAUGCCCUUUAUGACCUGGGCUACACACGUGCUACAAUGGCCUGUACAGAGGGACGCGAAGCCGUGAGGCGGAGCCAAUCCCAGAAAGCAGGUCUCAGUUCGGAUUGCAGGCUGCAACUCGCCUGCAUGAAGUAGGAAUCGCUAGUAAUCGCGGAUCAGCAUGCCGCGGUGAAUACGUUCCCGGGCCUUGUACACACCGCCCGU